GGUGUCUCCAUUUAGCAUUCUAGCCUGUGAAAUCAUAACAAUUUCAUCUUAAAAAUUAGGAGCUAGUCAUGUUCUCUAAAUUUCUACUAUUGCCCUCCUUAAUUUCCUGACAAAAGAGGCUUUUAUAUUACUUUUUAAUAAAAUGAAAUUGAAAGUGUACUUCAACUAAAACUUUGGUGUCUCUCAGAUAUACUCUAUUUAGAAUUUGAUAAAUCAAAUUAUCCCUAGGGCUUUAGGAUUUUACUGAGAUAGGACUCCUAAUAAAACUUCUCCAAAGUAAUUGUGGGUGAGGUCUCUAUAGCAGCAUAUGAUUUUUGCCAGCUCCAUUUCUCUCUCCUGACAGAAAAUGGUCAUUUGGCAUCUCAAAUGCAAAGCCUAAGCAAGCUAGAACAUAAUCCUUCUAAAAAUCUGGAGCUUUAUCAAAAUGCUCAUUAAACUAUGUCUCUAAGUUUAACUUGCCAUUAAGAUUGCCAUUGUUAAAAGUACAAAAGGAUGCUUUUAUGAAGUAGAAAUAAUAUGUCUUCUUAGACAUAUGGCACUAGGGAAUGAGAUUUCUAGUUUUAUCUUUCUCUGCACAGUAUAUAUUCAUUUGAAAUAUCAUCUAGUUCAUUGACUUUUUUUUACUAAAUAAUAUUCCUCAACCACACCCAGCAAACAUUUCUAGCAUAAAAAAAGGGGUCAUAUGUCAGCUUAUAUAUUUAUAUUUAUCAGAACUUAUAACAGUAUUCCUUUCAUUAGAGACAUUACAAUUACAUAAUAAAAUAUUGUUUUCUUUCUUUUUUUCUUCCUUCCUUUCUUUCUUUCUUUUCUCAAGGUAAAUCUAUUUUAUUUUUUCAUCCUUAUACAAUGGGACUGGCUGCACAAUAAGCCAGUUGGAUUAACACCAUUUGUGAACCACAGGGACUGAGUUGCUGUGACAGUAGUUCAGCAAGGCUGCCUUUAAAAAUGGAAAGUGACUUUAAAAAUGGCAUUAAAAAAAGGCAUGACACAAAUACGAAUUGAGACACAUCUUCACUAGAGACUUGCAUAAGUAUUUAGAUUUCCAAUUUCCAGAUGUCAAACUAGUCAUAUAUUCCCUUUAAAAUUGUAUUAUAAUUACCAAAUGUGUCAGUCACUUUUGGCAGCUGGUAGUAAGUGCACUGCAUUUGAAUCUAACUUCUGAUAAAUAUAUGGUGUGAAUAUUUAUUCAUUACAUGGGGACUGAGUUUUUCUAGAACCUGCCCAGUUUUCUUUUCCAGAACAUUCACUGGGGCUGGAUUAAAGAAUGGAUAUUCUUUUGGAUCCAUGAUGAACUGGAUAAUGUUUUCAUUGUAUAGGAGCUACGUAGAAGUCAUUUGUAAUUGUAUAUACUUAAUACAGUCCCAUAUCUUCAAAUGCUAGAUGAAUAUUAGAUAAGUCCUCUGUUUUAAAAAAUGAAGAUUUCUUUCUCUUGAAAGUCUCUGUCACUCUUAGGAGAAUGUUAAUCCCAUGGUUUUCUUUUUCUCUUGAGAUUCAUUACAUAUCCAUUCAUACCUUCCCUUGUACAAGAAAGAAAAUACAUCUCAUAAAAUCUGGGCAACAGCUAUUAUAAUGCACUUCUCUAUGUGCAAAUGGAAAAAUAGGGAUUUUUUUCUUUACUGUCAGUGCUAUUUCAUUGAGAAUGUGAAAGUCAUGGGUAUUUGUUCUUGUAUUAGGACUAGAAAAUGUCCUUCAUGGAGACGGUUAUUUUGCCACUGUUGCAAACUGGGUGGGUAUGGGAUUGAGUAGCUUUAAGUAAAUGGUUUUUCCAGUAUUUCCAUUUUUCAAUUUAUCAAAUAGUGAAGUACACUAGUCUGUGAGGCUUUCCUUUCAUAGAAUAUCUAUGAUGUUUAUUUCCUCAAUCACACUGUUUUUGCUCCUCUCUCACCUCCUUAAACAAGCAGUCCAGAAGCCCCAUGGCUAUUACACAAGAAGAGUUCUUUCUUGGCAUCAAGCAUGGUCUGUCUGUCUGUCUCUCUUUUUAAAUUUAAAUUUCAGAUUUGGAGUUAGAAAAUAGGACAUUUGAAUCUGGACUAGUGCUUGUGGUAGUCACUUCGUGAUCUUGGGCAGCCAUACGAACCCUUUUAAUUUAAUCUAUAAAAAGACAAUAAUAUUAACAACCAUGAUAAGAAUAUCUAACAUAUGAGAUAGCUGAGGGGUCAAGGAAAUAGCCAUGUAAUUAUGAAAAGAAGUCACCAGCAAUAGACUUCUAAAUUAAUGGUCUUAACGUUCACUUCAUUUUCUUCUUCUAAAUGGCAGCAAGGAUUGUUCCUUUGAGCUGCACCAUUUAAGCCCCUCCUUUUUCCCUGUCAGACCAGAAAGAUCUGAUAAUGCUGCCCUUUUUAUACUCAGAGAGUGUGAGUUUUGUUUCUUCCAGCCUGGGGAGGUGAAGCUAAACUUUCAGGUCUCUACAUCCUGGAUGGAUAGUUGCAUUAUCAACAGGGAAUUCACAUGAGAUUGCAGGGAGAUACAAAUAUAUCUGUAUAGGUGUAUAGGAAAUCACCUCCUAGUAGAAAGAGCAUAAGCUUUAGAGCCAGACAGACCUGGAUUUGAAAACUAUCUUUACAAUGUACCAUGUACCAUGUACCAUGUACCAUGUACCAGAGCACUGUGUGAUCUUAAAAGUGUUACUUAACCUUCUUCAACCUCAGUUUCCUCACGGUCAAAGUGGAGAAUAAGAUGGAUUUGUAAAGCAGCAUACUGGACAGUCAGUCCAAAGUGGACACUGUUAUUCCCUUUCGUGGAAUGUGUGUUCAAAAGUUUGCUGAAUCUUUUUAACUUAGUGUUGUGAGGGGCAACAAGCAAUUCCUAGGGCUCUCAUACUUAAUAUGCUGCUAUCCUGAAUAGUCACAUUUGGGGGGACUUCCUCAGGGAGAAUGUGAAAUGGUAAUUCAGCUGAGAUUUUAGUGUAUGGAUUAGCUUUAUGUUCAUUUUCAGAGUGUGUAUAACCCUACACUUUCCACACCAAAAGAAUGAAAAGAGCAUUAUCUAGAGUUUGAGGAGCAUACAUGGUGCAGGGAUUUGGCAGCAGAGAUGUUUCUCCUGGAACUUCUAAAAUCCUUAAAUGCAGGAGGCCAAAUAUUUUUAAUUUUCAAAGGACAGAGGAAGUGAGAAAAGAAACUGCUUAUGGCUUUAAAUUCUUACCUAAAAGAAGCCUAUAUUUGAAGACAGAAAAAUCUGGAUUUUGAAUUCUCUUUACUGCUACAAGUCCUUGAUCAUAUAGUCACAUAGUUUUAUAUGAACUUUAUAGGAUAGCUUGUUGCUAUUUUCAAAGGAAUUAUGUCUUAGGGUAGUAAGUCUAAUUGAAGAAGUCCUUUAACAUAGUAACUGAACACUAAUUUAUGAUGAAUAAAUAAUCAGAUGACUGUUAAUUAAGACUUUUUGAGAACAGGAGAACCUCUGAAAUAUAGGAGGUAAGUAGGUAUUAUUUCUAAAUUUCGUUGAGUUUCAACUCACUAAUUAUAAAGUGGAGAUGAAUCUUCAAAUGCCAGAUAUGUAGUAAAAUAUCCUUGAAAAAGAUGGGAAAGCUAUGACAUAGAUUUUUAACCUGCAAUUCAUUAAAUUAUGAUGACUCCAAAGUGGUAACUAUUGGAUUUAAAAAAACUCAAAGAAGGAUUUUUGUGGCAAAAUAUAGGUCUUGUCCUUGGUUAUGUUUAGUCCUAAGUUCUUGCUUGUGCUUUUGUUUUUGACCAUGUGGAAGGGAUCAAACUCAAGCCUUAACUGCUAGGCCACAAGGGAAUUCCUACUUAGUCCUAAACUGAAUCAAUAAUUCAAAUGAAUAUAGAGAAAACAAAUUAUUAGCUUUUAGAUUACAAGUAAGAUUUAUUAAGAAAGUCUUUGUGCAAGUAUCUAAAUAAAAAAGGAUGGUAAACUGAAUAAAACAAAAUAUGUAUCUACAAAUGUCUUGAAUUCAUAAAACCAACCUGUGUAAGAACUCAUAGAAAGAUGCCUGACUCUAUCUAGUUAUAGAAAAUUACUUAGGAAUUACCAAAUACCUACCAUUUGCAGAACUGCUGCAUUUUGUAAAUUCAGAAGUAACAGCAUGAUGUAGCUCCUAGGAAACUUAAUAUUCUUUCAUGCUACGUUAAUAGUUGUGAAGUUACUCAGAACAAAGGUAUAAUUUAGCUUUUCAUUCUCAGGAGAAAGCAGAGUUCUCUUCACUUGGAGGCAUCCCAUCUUCAGAGGAACAAGAUUAAGUUGUUUGGCUUCCAUAUUAGAGUGAAGAAAAUUGCAGUCAGGUAGGGGUUAGCUAAAUAAAACAGAUGGUGGUAUCUUGUGGCAUUAAGACAUUUAGCCUUCCAAAGUCAAAAACCUAUCAAAAGCUGGAAUUUUAGGAUUCCAUGUCAGUGAGCCUGAACUUAGAGAAAGGCUUCAGCCCAUGUAUAAAACUGGAACUCUUUGUGAGUAAUCAGGGACAAGACCAGUUAUGCUUCUGGAAAAGUAAGUCAGAGAUUGGGGGAAAUUUGAACUUCUGAAAGUACUCAGUAGCUUAGGGCUCACCCCAAAGACCCACCAUAUACUGAGAUUAGAGCCAUGCAAUUAAUCUCAGAUUUCAUCUACUAAAAGGGAUGGUUCUCUUAAGAUACUGGCUAUCUUGGUUAAAGUUGGAUGGAGAAGGCACUAAAUUUGUAUAGGUUUGGCCUCAGGGACACCAUCUGAAUGCACUGAGGAGAAAAGGGCUGUUCAAAUUCCUUAUCGAGCAUUAGGUAGCAAGAUGCUCUUUGGGGAUUUAGAGAGGUUUUAUGACCACAGAAUUUGGUUUAGGAGAAAUGAUUGUUAAAUUUAUGAACUUUUGGAUAGACAGAUACUAAGACACUAUUCAACUUUAUUCUCUGAUUCCAUCCUCAACGUAGAGGUAAGCCUAGCUCUGUCGAGGCCCUUUAUUUUCCUUUAUGAUUUCUCUUUAUCCUGUAGACUUUGCCAAUACUUCAAGACAAAUCAUUUCCUAAGCACAUCAGCAGAAGAAAAAUUUCUUUCUCUCUUUUUUUUUUUUCCUUUAGAGAGAUACAGAGUGACCUACAACACUUGGCAAGUGCAUAGUUUCUCACACGAGGUAAAUUCAAAGAGAUUUUGAGGAUGGCGCAAUUGAGUCAGUUGGGAAUGAAGAAUAAUAUGCCUUAUAGAAUACCCAAAAGUCAGAUAGAAUAAGAGGCAAAAUGGAAUAGUCUGUUGAUCUUGGUACAUCCAGCUGUGCUCAGAACAGAUAACAUGAGGGCAUUGGUCUGAGAAGAUAAGGCUGCCUCCUUUUUUUUUUUUUUUUUUUUAAGCAGUUCUAUUGUGAAGGCAAGGUCGAAUACACUGAUAAAACAGCAAAAACUUGAGUCAAAUUGCAAAGACUACAAGGUCUUUUCCUGGAUGCUAAUUAAUGUUAUCAUGGGAGAUGGCUAAAAUGAGACUAUUACCUACUAGUAAAUUAAUAGGAUAUGCUGCAACAUACCACAAGGGAGGAAUUGCCUAUGCUAAUAUAGUAUAAAAGAGAUUGCCAGUGGCAAAUGGUUCAUGGUAGAGUUUUCUACAUUAUGUAUAAACUCUAAGAGAUAUGACUUAAAGUAUGCCAUGAAUCUUUAAUUGAGAGAAAAUCAUUUGCACAGGAUAAAGUGUGAUGGCAAACCCACAUGUCCUUUUUCAUUAUCUAUACUGAAUGUUGAUUGUGAACCAUUUGAAAAGAAUAUGUUGCACAAUGCCGCAAUCAAAUCAGCUCAGUAACAUAUGUGUCUAUAUUUGCUAUGGAAGUCAGCAGUUUCUCUCUUUCCUCAGAGCUGUCACCUUUGACUGGUCUAAUUGCUAACUGCAGUUACAUGGAACUUAAACUGGGUUGAUUCAUUGAUGUAAUUCCCAGAAAAGCCAAGAAAAAAUCUAUUUCAAUGAUCUUGGAAGUGAGACUUCACUUUUUUAAUUGUAAAUUCAAUUUUUAUUUGAUUUGCCUAAAAAAUUGAGAGAGGAGAUAAGAAGGCCUUGAAAGGAUGGAGAAAAUGAAAAGAAUGAAAAUAAAAAUAAUAAUGAAUGAAAAAGAAAUAUAUUCUGAGAGGCUGACAUCACCAUUCACAGGCUGAGUCUUAGACCUGCAGCUCUAAAGUGUAGUGAAGUAAAUUUAUUAACUUUCAAUAUUCAACCUAUAGGGCCUAUUUAUUAGCAAUUUUAAAAAGAAGAUAAUGAGUACAUACUUUUCUAUUGUCUUCUCAUUUUCCCAGAAUCCAAAUCUGUGAGGUCAUAUCCUUCUUAAUUUGUUUUUGUUUGUUUGUUUGCCUGAUACAAUUAAUUGGCCAACUAAAUUCUAUGUAUUCUUUUGUCCAUAUUGUUUAAAGUCCCUGGUCAUUCAUUCUGUUGUUAUCUUUGACCUUGUAGUUUUUAUUUUACCAAAGUCAUCAUGUUCUUUUUUAAGUUUUCAUCAGCAGCUGCCCUUCCUCAUCUUAUUCAACUUCUCUCUGGCAUUUACUCUGGCAUUUACUCCUGCUUUUCAGGUCCUAUGAUUUCUGUACCUCCACACCUACAUCUUCUUGAUUUUUCUCCCAUUUUUUUCUUAGUUUUUGCCUUCUUAAUUGAAAUAACUGUUUCUUUGCACACUUCAAAA
rnacentral:lncRNA from 1 species